AACAAGAAAAUGAACAAGCAAUCUAAACAUAUUGUUUACUUCAUACUGCUGCAACAACCACAACAGUAAUAAUCUGAAUAAUAAUAACUAUUAUGAUUAUAAUAACUAUAAUAAUUAUUAUUAUUAUUUUGUUUUGUUUCCACCUCAUGUGUUUUUCAUUGUCACCGGGUAGAUGUCGUGGUGUUGCCAUGGAGCCUCUGGGGGUCAAAUGUUGACAUCACUUUUUUUUCUUCUUCUUCUUCCUCUCAUCACUUUUCUAGCUACUAAAAGUAAACAAAUGGAUGCUGCAGCACUCUGCUGUAAAAACAUGAAAAAUGUGACUAAACAGCGGGAAUUACAGCGACGAAAAUGCCCGGACAGAAGAAAAAAUACAACGUGCGGUUCCCUCCGGGUCGCAUCAAAAAAAUCAUGCAGAAGGACACAGAAGUUGGGAGGAUAGCGACGGCAGUUCCGGUGAUCAUCGCCCGGGCUUUGGAGAUGUUCCUGAAGUCUCUGCUGACCAAAACCUGUUUGAUUACUCAGGCGAAGUUCAACAACAUCGUGUCUGUGGCUCACAUGAAGCAGUGCAUAGAGUCAGAAAAAUUGUUUCAUUUUCUCAAAGACCUGGCAGAGGGAGCCACGUCUACAGCAACCCAGAAGGACAACCGAGGCAUGAGUAUUUGGCCUCCCUUACACGGUUUAUUGUCUUUUAAGGAACAAAAAGAGCAACAUCGCCGCUAAAAACCCAUCUGGAGCAGGAGAGGCUGUUCCCCAAUGGAGCCACGGCCCACACGAAACCGACUCAGGCUCAAGUGAGUCGGAGCUCUACAUUUGCUUGUAACGUGGACUUCCCAGCAGCACAUCAUUCCUGUUCACAUGUCAUUAGGCUUUGCAAAAAAAAAAAAAACCCUAGACAAAAACACUCUGUUCACUACUGGGACACAAUAGCCUACAUAAAUAUGGCUGUUUUUGGACAGCAAGAGGGAAGAAAAGGGAUUUACACAGCAGUUUGAAUCUGUACCAACAUGCAAAGCUUUGGUAAAGAACAGAACGUCCAUGCAGGACGGAUUUCUGCUACAGGGGUUUUUCUUUUUUUUUGUUUUUGUCCAUAGAUUUGAAUACUUAACAGCCUGCACUGUUAAAUGUAAGUUUUCUGUUAGGUUUUUCUUUCAUCUUUAGCUUGUCUGCAGAUUUGAGGUUAGCGUCACGAACUGUUUAACCCCUGUAGCCCUCAAAUGAUUGAUUUUUCACUUUGUUUUGCCGUCUUUGUUGAUUACAAGUGCUUCUUUUUUAAUAGCAGCCAUCGUGGUUUCUAUUUUUAAAGCACUUGUAAAUAUAUCUAUAUAUAUAUAUGUUGUUUUUUUUUAAUGAAAUGUGUAAAUAACUCAAGGCAGGAGGUAAAUAAAACUAAGCAAGAGCUUA